GGGUCCUGCAGUCGACGAUUCCUACGGGAGGCAGCAGUAGGGAAUCAUCCGCAAUGGGCGAAAGCCUGACGGUGCAACGCCGCGUGAGUGAUGAAGGUUUUCGGAUCGUAAAGCUCUGUUGACAGGGAAGAACCCACGUCAGUCGAACAGGCUGGCGUGCUGACGGUACCUGUCCAGAAAGCCCCGGCUAACUACGUGCCAGCAGCCGCGGUAAUACGUAGGGGGCAAGCGUUGUCCGGAAUUAUUGGGCGUAAAGGGCACGCAGGCGGUUUCGUCAGUCCGAUGUGACAGGCCACGGCUCAACCGUGGAAGGCCAUUGGAAACUGCGAAACUUGAGGACAGAAGAGGAGAGUGGAAUUCCACGUGUAGCGGUGAAAUGCGUAGAUAUGUGGAGGAACACCAGUGGCGAAGGCGACUCUCUGGUCUGUACCUGACGCUGAGGUGCGAAAGCAUGGGGAGCAAACAGGAUUAGAUACCCUGGUAGUCCAUGCCGUAAACGCUGAGUGCUAGGUGUUAGGGGUUUCGAUACCCGUAGUGCCGAAGCUAACGCAUUAAGCACUCCGCCUGGGGAGUACGACCGCAAGGUUGAAACUUAAAGGAAUUGACGG
rnacentral:rRNA from 1 species